rnacentral:lncRNA from 1 species
CUUUCAACAUAUUUCAAACCACAAAUGCCAUACUGCUCAAACCAUAUACACAUAUACAUACAUAAGCUGUCAAAAAGAUCAUUCUAUUUUCAUACUUGCAUACAUGUAUAUAAGCUGUAUAAUAACAGGAGACUAACUUUCUUUUCAAAAUAAACCUUUCUCAUGACAAAAAUACAAUGAAAACCCCAAAGUUAGAUAAAAUUCACUCACUACUUAUGGUUGCU